AUUGAACGCUGGCGGUAUGCUUAACACAUGCAAGUCGAACGGUAACAGGCCUUCGGGCGCUGACGAGUGGCGGACGGGUGAGUAACGCGUAGGAAUCUGCCUCAUAGUGGGGGACAACGUGUGGAAACGCACGCUAAUACCGCAUACGCCCUACGGGGGAAAGCGGGGGACCUUCGGGCCUCGCGCUAUGAGAUGAGCCUGCGUUAAAUUAGCUAGUUGGUAGGGUAAAGGCCUACCAAGGCGACGAUCUAUAGCUGGUCUGAGAGGACGAUCAGCCACACUGGGACUGAGACACGGCCCAGACUCCUACGGGAGGCAGCAGUGGGGAAUAUUGGACAAUGGGCGCAAGCCUGAUCCAGCAAUACCGCGUGUGUGAAGAAGGCCCUAGGGUUGUAAAGCACUUUCAAUAGGGAGGAAAACCUGUCGGUCAAUACCCGGCAGCUUGACAUUACCUAUACAAGAAGCACCGGCUAACUUCGUGCCAGCCGCCGCAGUAAUAC
rnacentral:rRNA from 1 species